rnacentral:lncRNA from 1 species
CCAGUGCCAGAGGAGAGCGGGAGACAAAAGUAGCGUUCUCCUCGUCCUCCUGGGCGGCAGCAGGGCUUCCCCCAGAGCCMCCCGCUCCUGGCAGCCCUGCCCCCGGGUGCCGGAGGGGCCGAGGCCCAGGCCAGGACCCAGGGGCCGAUGGAUGGUGGGCGGCCAGAGCCCAGGAGGCCCGAGGGCCUGUCGGACAGGGCUGGCACCUGGGGACAGCCUGCUGGCCAGCAGGACCCACCCUCUUCCCCUGCCCGGGUGACCGGUCGGGGCAGGGGACAUCAUUUUCAUUUCCUGGCUCUUGGGAAAGCGCCUCCGUCCUCCUGCACCUCGAACGUGGCCUGUCCAGGAAUACCGCCCCGGAGGUCGGGAGCCCACCGAGGGCCGUGGAAGACCGUCCAGCCCCUCGUGGCCCAGGUCUCAGCCCCUCUUCUGACCCUUCCAGGUGAAGCCCGAGGCUGUCCACCUGUCCACCUCAGGUCCUUCCUGGCUCCCCGUCAGACCAGAUGCUGCAGAGCGUCCACGUGGAAGAGGGACCCUCGGCUCCGCCUCCGUCACACCCUGAGGACUCACUGUUCCCAGCUUGGGGUUGUGUGCACCUGUCCCUCCGCAGGCUUGCCCAGCCUCGAGAGCCCUGGGGACAGAAGGUGCUGAGGUAGCCCCCCUCUCUGCCCUUCCACCACUCAGCCCUCCAGUGUGACCCCGAUACUCUCCAGUCACCUCUCCUGACUUGUCGGCCAACCUGGGAUGCCACACAGGUGAGUCUCACCUGGAGCGAGAAGAAAUGCCACUGAGGGAAACUGAGUCCCGUCUGCUGCCUGGCUGGGCCGGGGUCCAGGGGAGAGGACUUGUGGCCAGGGUGGGCCAGGGGUCUGUCUCUGUCCCCCACCGUCUCACGGCUGUGCAUGGUGAGCGCUGCAGGGUCUGCAUGAGCCCAGGCCCCCGGGGGCAGGCGGGUGCAGGCCAGGAGCAGGCUCUGGGUCUGUGAGGGGCCCACGCACACGUGUGUCCAGCUCUGCUUGUUCAUUAAGAGCAGCCCACCUGGGCGCCAUGGCCACACCUGUAAUCCCAGCUUCUUAGGAGGCUGAGCCAGUAGGAUUGCAAGUUCAAGGCCAGCCUGAAACCCUGUCUCAAAAAAAUAAAAAGGGCUCGGGGUGCA